AUACGGAGGGUGCAAGCGUUGUCCGGAUUUAUUGGGUUUAAAGGGUGUGUAGGCGGCGUAUUAAGUCAGUGGUGAAAGCCUGCGGCUCAACCGUAGAACUGCCAUUGAUACUGACACACUUGAGUAUGGACGAGGUAGGCGGAAUUUAUGGUGUAGCGGUGAAAUGCGUAGAUACCAUAAAGAACACCGAUAGCGAAGGCAGCUUACUAGGCCAUAACUGACGCUGAGGCACGAAAGCGUGGGGAGCGAACAGGAUUAGAAACCCGUGUAGUCC
rnacentral:rRNA from 1 species